UCGAGUAUGGCGUAUAUCGGGGAAUACCUGUAUAGCCACCAGAGGAAGGCGCUGCUUCGCGUUCACAUGAAAAUGUGGUAGUGUGAAAUCAAGUUUGCAAGCGGUAGGACGCGUCGGUGUGUGUCCGUUUUUUCUCUCGUGAAACCAGUACGGAAAAACUAUUUGAAAUCGUAACACACGCACGAACGGAAGUGAGCACGGACCACAACAGAAGCAAUAUUCAAUUGGUUGGUAAGUAUUGUGCUUGACGUUAAAUUGAACAGCUGUUGGCAAAAUAGUUAAUAUUUCCUUCUAUCCCUAGGAGUGCCGAAAACAGAACAGGAGAGGAAAGAAGGCAGGAACGAUCCGAUCCUCCAACGUGCUAGCGCCUGGUAGAGGAGAAGCGGCAGGAAGGUAGAGACGAACAUCCAGCUCGCUAGUGCAGCACGUGGGAGCAGCAAGAGGG